GUGACAGAAGAGAGUGAGCACACGGCCGGCGGAACGGCACCGGCGGAUGUGCCGUCGCGGCCGCGUGCUCACUGCUCUAUCUGUCAUCC
rnacentral:pre_miRNA from 1 species